UGGCACAUGAGGGGGAGACCGGCGACCCGAUCCCAGCCACAAUAUGCAAGGGGGAGACCGACUGCUAGCCUCAAAGCUGCCGAAGGCGCGAGUAGGGGGCCGAUGCCGGCCUCGGAGCUGACGAAAUCGUGCGGUGGAGACCGGCCGCCUGAUCCCGACCACAGCGCGCAUGGGGGAGCGUCGGUGCCGACGGACACUGAGAGGCUUCGGAGAUACACAAAAGCGUGCAAGAGAACCAGCUAUGCCCUCACUCCUUCCCC
rnacentral:lncRNA from 1 species